rnacentral:rRNA from 1 species
UACAGAGGUCUCAAGCGUUGUUCGGAUUCAUUGGGCGUAAAGGGUGCGUAGGCGGCGCGGUAAGUCGGGUGUGAAAUCUCGGGGCUUAACUCCGAAACUGCAUUCGAUACUACCGUGCUUGAGGACUGGAGAGGAGACUGGAAUUUACGGUGUAGCGGUGAAAUGCGCAGAUAUCAGGAGGAACACCGGUGGCGAAGGCGGAUCUCUGGGCCUUGCCUGACGCUGAGGCGCGAAAGCUAGGGGAGCGAACGGG